GCCGAGUGAUUAAUCUUGAUAGUUUGUCUGUAAAACAAACAAAGAGGUGCCUUGUCCCGCAACGAAAAGAUACGAGUGUGUGGACCAAUAUUUGGUGCAGCAUUACUUCGAUGAGAGUGGAAUUACUGCUGUGAGCACGAUUCCUGAUUCGAGUGUGGGGAUAUCUUCUUAAUGUUUUUGGUAUUUUAUGGAGAGAGUAUAUUCUGCGUGGUUCAUUGCAUGAGCUUCGAGGGUUUAUUAUUUCUUUUCCCCCUGGUACAGCGCAACUGUUUUCGCUUAAUAUAGCUUAGAUACAAAAAAGAUGUGCUGGCAAUGGCACGGGAGUAUUAUAAGGAGAGUAGGGACAUUGACGGAACUUUAAGGCGAAUGCCCCGUCAUCCGGUUUCUGAAAGGGCUGUACGACAGUCCUUGAAGAAGUUUCUUGGGAACUACUUGCAGGCAUUAAAAGCUAUGCCUAGGACUUUGAGAAUGAUGCAAGUGCUAAGCAGUUAGAGAAACAUAUGUUGCUCCGUGUGAGCUCUAGUUUAGCAGCUGCUCACAAAGUCAAAGGAUUUGCUCUACUUGGACGCCUUCAUUUUGCACUGAACUCGUGCUUUCGAUCUUCAUCUUUACUUGAGCCCAAAUUAUUGAGCUUAUAUGACAAUCUUCAUUGUUAGAUGCUCAAAGCAUCUUUUCCAAUGUUUUUCAUCGUCAAACAAUGUUUUCAUGUUACUUCACCUUGGUUUUCAUGGUUCUCCCUAACGAUCAUUACAAUUAUGAUCAUUGGAUUUUCUGAUGUCCUCUCAAAACAUGUAAAUAGACUCCUUCAAGAAAGCAACAUCGUAUGGUUGGGUAUGAGGGACCCGAUAUUUCUAGCUGGGGUUUCUUAUUUUAGGUGUUCACUUCAGUUGCUAGCAGGUCUUGCUCCUCAGGUAUGUACAUAGUUACCAAAGCUAUUUGUGGAACCAUGCAGUGAGUGCAAGGGUGCAGAAGUAUGGUAUGCUAAGUACGGCAUCAAAAAGACACGUUGAGGUUUUCUUUUUGGUAUCCUUUGGUUCAGAACAUUAACUUUUGCUCUGUUUUUCACCACGUGGCGGGAGCAGAACAAGUUGUGGUGGGGGACAUAGUACAUCAUCAAGAACAUGAUGAUGAGAAUGUGGCAGAAGAAGUUGUUUCGGCUUAAUUGACAACAAGGAGAUCCUGUUUGUCAUCGCUGAGUGUCAUCUUUGUGGAUAUGGUCGAUUCACUGAGACUCAAUCAUGUGGUUGUUCUACACUGCCUUUUGCCAAGAGCUUCGAAUUGUUAUUUCGAUUGUUGUCUGUUGUUAGAACUCAGAUUUUGUCUCUACUAUUGUCUAGCUGAGUACUCCAAAUUGUAAAGCUAUUCUGUUUACCCUGUACUUCAUUCCACUUGCUCACAACCUGCUCGACAGAAUGCCUGACUGAAUCGUAGAUAGUUAGUUCCUGUUGCAUUCUGUUUAAAAACGUUUUGAUGUCCAAUUGAAGUUGUGUUGGUUGUGUCUUA